AUUGAACGCUGGCGGCAUGCCUUACACAUGCAAGUCGAACGGCAGCACGGGAGCAAUCCUGGUGGCGAGUGGCGAACGGGUGAGUAAUGUAUCGGAACGUGCCCAGUCGUGGGGGAUAACGCAGCGAAAGCUGUGCUAAUACCGCAUACGAUCUAUGGAUGAAAGCGGGGGAUCGCAAGACCUCGCGCGAUUGGAGCGGCCGAUAUCAGAUUAGGUAGUUGGUGGGGUAAAGGCCCACCAAGCCGACGAUCUGUAGCUGGUCUGAGAGGACGACCAGCCACACUGGAACUGAGACAUGGUCCAGACUCCUACGGGAGGCAGCAGUGGGGAAUUUUGGACAAUGGGCGCAAGCCUGAUUCAGCAAUGCCGCGUGCAGGAUGAAGGCCUUCGGGUUGUAAACUGCUUUUGUACGGAACGAAACGGUUCUCUCUAAUACAGGGGGCUAAUGACGGUACCGUAAGAAUAAGCACCGGCUAACUACGUGCCAGCCGCCGCGGUAA
rnacentral:rRNA from 1 species